rnacentral:rRNA from 1 species
GACGAACGCUGGCGGCGUGCCUAAUACAUGCAAGUAGAACGCACAGUUUAUACCGUAGCUUGCUACACCAUAGACUGUGAGUUGCGAACGGGUGAGUAACGCGUAGGUAACCUGCCUGGUAGCGGGGGAUAACUAUUGGAAACGAUAGCUAAUACCGCAUAAUAUUAAUUAUUGCAUGAUAAUUAAUUGAAAGGUGCAAUUGCACCACUACCAGAUGGACCUGCGUUGUAUUAGCUAGUAGGGGAGGUAACGGCUCACCUAGGCGACGAUACAUAGCCGACCUGGGAGGGUGAUCGGCCCCACUGGGACUGAGACACGGCCCAGACUCCUACGGGAGGCAGCAGUAGGGAAUCCUCGGCAAUGGACGAAAGUCUGACCGAGCAACGCCGCGUGAGGGAAGAAGGUUUUCGGAUCGUAAAGCUCUGUUGUAAGAGAAGAACGGGUGUGAGAGUGGAAAGUUCACACUGUGACGUUAUCUUACCAGAAAGGGACGGCUAACUACGUG